rfam:Lepisosteus oculatus linkage group LG1, whole genome shotgun sequence.
CCCCGACUAGCUCUGUUGGUAGAGCAUGAGACUCAUAAUCUCAGGGUAGUGGGUUUGUGUCCCAUGUUGGGUG